rnacentral:rRNA from 1 species
CCUACGGGAGGCUGCAGUGGGGAAUAUUGGACAAUGGGCGAAAGCCUGAUCCAGCCAUGCCGCGUGAGUGAUGAAGGCCCUAGGGUUGUAAAGCUCUUUCACCGGUGAAGAUAAUGACGGUAACCGGAGAAGAAGCCCCGGCUAACUUCGUGCCAGCAGCCGCGGUAAUACGAAGGGGGCUAGCGUUGUUCGGAAUUACUGGGCGUAAAGCGCACGUAGGCGGACUAUUAAGUCAGGGGUGAAAUCCCGGGGCUCAACCCCGGAACUGCCUUUGA